CCUUGGGGACAUGUGCUACAGAUCAAGGAAGACCGCUUCAGGGGCCAUCGAUGUAACCUACGUCAGCAAAGGAAAAGUUGUCUAUACGAAGAAAAAGCUGCCCACCUGUUCACCUCCCGGGACUGACACCGGAAACCUCGUACGUUUUCCUGUUGACAAUGGCUUUGUGGAGCUACGACACCUGUAUGAC